AUAGUAAUUCAUAUCAUAAUCCAAACAGCACCUUCUUCUCUCUCUCUUUUAAAAAGACACCCUGUGGUGCGCUUUCUCUCUCUAAACAUAUCGCUCUCUAUUUCUCUCUCUAACAUUCGUGUUAUCGUGCGCUUUCUCUCUCAAACAAUCUCCUCCUCACAGUUUCAUUUUCUUCUCGAUCUCACCACUUUUUUGUUGAGAGAAAUCAUGAGUGAUGAAGGAGAAAGGACUUGCCCUCUCUGUGCCGAAGAGAUGGAUUUGACGGAUCAGCAGUUGAAACCUUGCAGAUGUGGUUAUGAGAUCUGUGUAUGGUGUUGGCACCACAUAAUGGACAUGGCUGAGAAGGAUGAUACGGAUGGGCGAUGCCCUGCGUGUCGUUCUCCUUAUGACAAGGAAAAGAUUGUUGGGACGGCGGCAAAAUGUGAAAGACUGCUGAAUGAAAUGAAUUUGGAGAAAAAGGUGAAGAAUCAGAAAGCCAAGUCUAAAUCUUCUGAUGGACGGAAGCAGCUCAGUAGUGUGCGAGUGAUUCAGCGAAACCUUGUUUACAUAGUUGGAUUGCCUCUGGAUCUGGCAGAUGAAGAUCUUCUCCAGAAGCGAGAGUAUUUUGGUCAGUAUGGGAAGGUCUUAAAAGUGUCAAUGUCACGGACGGCAGCUGGUGUCAUUCAACAGUUUCCUAAUGAAACUUGCAGUGUAUAUAUUACUUAUUCAAGCGAAGAGGAAUCAAUUCGGUGUAUUCAAAAUGUACACGGAUUUAUUUUGGAGGGCAGACCUUUAAGGGCCUGUUUUGGAACGACAAAAUAUUGUCAUGCAUGGCUCCGAAAUGCGCCUUGCAUCAACCCAGAUUGUCUAUAUUUGCACGAGGUUGGCUCUCAAGAAGAUAGCUUUACAAAAGAUGAAAUAAUUUCCGCUUACACCAGAAGUCGAGUUCAACAGAUCACCGGUGUCACAAACAGUAUGCAACGGCGGUCAGGGAAUGUAUUACCUCCUCCCCUAGAUGAUUGGACCAAUAAUUCUACAGAAAAGCCCAUUGUUAAAAGUGCACCAACUAACUCUGUCUGCGCAGUAAGAAGUUCACCUCCAAAUGGAAUUAAUGGGAGACAUGUAUCUCUUCCCACCAGUGCUGCUUGGGGCACACAGACUACAAGUUGUCAUCCCCCUGUUGGAGGUUUAUCACAUCCCUCUGUGUUGUCCAAGCCAAAACCUGAUACAGUCAACAGCAUGCAUCCCUCUGUGCUGUCCAAGCCAAAACCUGAUACAGUCAACAGCGCACUUGCCUUUUCUACUGCUGUUACGGGGACAAUUCAGGCUUCUGCAGCACAAUGUGAUGGUUCAAGGAGGCCACUAUUGAAUGAUGAGAGUCGUAAUACAAUACCAAGGGUGAAAAGUGAAAUGCCGAAAUCUGUUAAACAAUAUAUUAGCAUGGACAGUCUGGCUAGUGCAAGUGAGAAAACUUCAGCUUGUGAUGUUUCUCCUGUGCCUGUCAAUUUAAAGAACGAGUUGUCUUCUCGGCCAUUGUCACGAGAUAGUGACAGAGGCAAUUGUACUAUAGCAAACACAUUAAAUGCUACUAACAUUACUGGACAUUCUUUUAGCACCGGUCCAGAGGAAGCAGUGUCUGCUACCAAUGAAGUGAUACGGAAUUUGUCCAGUGAGUUCUCCUCAAUUAACAUUGAUAGAAGUACCUCAAAUGAACUCUGCCGUAUAACUAAACCUAGUAGCCUGCCUACUGAAAAUGCCUUGACUAAAUCUCCUCAAAUUCAAGAAGGAUCACAUUAUGAUGUUGACAGAUUUAAAGACCCGAUAACAACCAAUACAGCCGGUAAAACUUCCACAUCAGUUAAUGGUGUUUUUAGUCCAAAGGAACAGUGUGGAGGGAUAUUGGAUUCUCAAUCUCAGGUAGUAUCGGAUGCAGCUGAUAUCGAAGAUGAUGUAACAUCUUUUGAUAAUCAAAGACUCAAGGAUCCAGAAGUUUGUCUUUCUUAUUUGCCUAAGGCAACAAAUUUCCUUAAUAUAUCAAAACUCUCUAGCCCUUGUCUAAUGCAGUAUGGUGAACCUUGUACUGCUGGAAAUGAUGGUUCUCUAUCUUCCAAUGAUAGAGUUCGGGAUGAAUCUAUUUUACAUUCGUCUAGCAUGUUAUGUAAUGGCUAUCCUGAGAAAUUGAUCAGUGGCAGCUCUAAUGGUUUACUUCGUGAUGAAAGAAACCGGCAAAGCAUUGGAAGGUUAGUUGGUGAUGCUGUUGAUGCUGGGUGUGAUGCUGCAAUUGAUAAGGGCGAAAGUAGCAUAAUCUCAAAUAUUCUGUCCCUCGAUUUUGAUCCCUGGGAUGACUCCUUAACAUCACCGCAUAAUAUAGUGAAGUUAUUGGGUGACAAUACUGAUAGCCAGCCUUGUCCUUUAAAAACAUCUAGUUCUAGGAAUGUUCAAAGUAACAAUCAGUCAAGGUUCUCUUUUGCAAGGCAGGAAGAAUCUAAAAUUCAAUCUUUUGAUGUGCAUCCGUCUUAUACUGUCAGCCAGCAACAGCCUAAGAGUCACAUACUCAAUCAGAAUCUGGCAGAAAGAGAUUUUUAUAUGGAGAAAUUGGGCAUAGCAAAUGGCUUUCCUACCAGUAACUUUGAGGAAGCUGGUGUCCAUUCCAUUGCUUCUUCCAAUAAGCUUUCUGCUAAUUCAAGAUCACAAGUUUCAGCUCCACCAGGAUUUUCAAUUCCAAGCAGGCUUCCACCUCCUGGUUUUUCUUUGCAUGAGAGAUCAGACCAGAUUUUUGACUCCCUAUCUGGUAAUUCAUUACUUGAUCAUUCUUCCUAUUUGAGAAAUUCACCUCAGACACUCUCAGCUGGAAAUAUUGGUGGCACAGGCGAAAUUGAAUUUAUGGAUCCUGCUAUUUUGGCAGUUGGUAAGGGGAGACUUCAAGGUGCACAGAACAGUCAAUCACUGGACGUACGGUCAAAUUUCAUGCCACAAUUAAAUUAUUUCGAUAAUGAAGCUAGACUACAACUCCUAAUGCAAAGAUCUCUAGCACAGCAGCAAAACCUUAGAUUUUCUGAAAUUGGGAAUACUUUUUCUCAACUUGGUGAUUCAUAUGGUGUUUCUUCAAGGUUGGAUCAGUCUCAAGUCAGUAAUCUAGCCCCUUAUCCUCAGCUGUCUAUGCAGCAGUCUACAAAUGCAAUCUUGUCAAAUGGCCAAUGGAAUGGGUGGAAUGAGGUGCAGAGUGGGAAUGGUCUGGGUGUGGCCGAACUUUUGAGGAAUGAAAGACUUGGAUUUAACAAGUUUUACCCAGGAUAUGAUGAUUCAAAAUAUCGGAUGCCAAACUCUGGAGAUAUCUACAACAGAACAUUUGGGAUGUGACUUUUUGGUUGCUAUGUUGUGUUAAUGUUGGAAAUGGUAAAACCUGGCAGAAAUGGACUGAUUUUUUGCGCAGCUAUGGAUGGUACUUAUGACUGGUAUAUUGGGCUACCUAAUGAUGAUCCCAAGAAGUGUAAUUUAUGGCUGCAGUUGGUAAUCAGUAAACAUCCAAUGUUUUCAUGGUUAAAUUGGAUUAAUAUGGCAUUGCUCAUUUUGCAUGCACAUAGAAGUGUCUUAAACUACCUGGUACCAAAACGAGAAAGGAAAAAAUGUUACAUUUUUAAAAUUGUUUUCAUACUAGGUUUUGGAUGUUUCAAGAGUGACAUUGCUGUUUGCUUUUAUGUAGUGUUGCACUCAUUUGCCCCUCUUUCCUUUUUGGUUCUGGAUUUGCAGGUGAGCUGUUUUGGGGUUUACCGUCAAUGCUAACAUGAUCAAAUUAGCAGGGACCUUGUCAUGAAUGACUAGGGGCAUGACUCUGUUAGUGGUCUGGUAUCUUCAUUUCGUGAUGCAGCUGGAAAUCUUGGAUUGUAUAUGGAACAUACAAUCACUAAAUAUGAUUUUUCAUGUCUUUUUGGUGGCCCAAGUGAGAUUGGUAAUUGAGUUAUGUUAUAUGGACAACCUAAAACGGUUGUUGUGUAUGCACACCUUAUGGGUUUAUCCAGAUAUUAGUCUGGCAUUGAAGCUGACAAAAAAAUGUCAAUAAAGAAAAAGUAGAUGGACCGUAUAUAUAUUUGGUUGUCCGACAACUUUAGGUUGUCCAAAUAA